rnacentral:tRNA from 2 species
GCCCCUGUAACUCAGCUGGCCAGAGUGCCGCACUUGUAAUGCGGGAGUCGACGGUUCGAAUCCGUCCGGGGGCUCCA